rnacentral:piRNA from 1 species
UAGUGAAUUUCUGGUAUACGAACGGGGC